AACGAACGCUGGCGGCGUGGAUAAGACAUGCAAGUCGAACGAGAUCACUUUUUGUAGCAAUACAGAAAGUGAUUUAGUGGCGAACGGGUGCGUAACACGUGGGCAAUCUGCCUUAAAGUGGGGGGAUAGCUCGGCGAAAGCCGAAUUAAUACCGCAUGUGGUGAAGGGAGACAUCUCUCUGAAUCCAAAGCCGGGGCAACCUGGCGCUUUUUGAUGAGCCCGCGGCCAUCAGCUAGUUGGUGAGGUAACGGCUCACCAAGGCUAUGACGGGUAGCUGGUCUGAGAGGACGACCAGUCACACUGGAACCGAGACACGGUCCAGACACCUACGGGUGGCAGCAGUCGAGUAAUUUUUCUCAAUGGGGAAACCCUGAAGGAGCGACGCCGCGUGGAGGAUGG
rnacentral:rRNA from 1 species